UACGUAGGUGGCAAGCGUUGUCCGGAAUUACUGGGUGUAAAGGGAGCGCAGGCGGGAAGCCAAGUCAGCUGUGAAAACUACGGGCUUAACUUGUAGACUGCAGUUGAAACUGGUUUUCUUGAGUGAAGUAGAGGUUGGCGGAAUUCCGAGUGUAGCGGUGAAAUGCGUAGAUAUUCGGAGGAACACCGGUGGCGAAGGCGGCCAACUGGGCUUUAACUGACGCUGAGGCUCGAAAGUGUGGGGAGCAAAC
rnacentral:rRNA from 1 species